rnacentral:rRNA from 1 species
GAUGAACGCUGGCGGCGUGCCUAAUACAUGCAAGUCGAGCGAACGGACGAGAAGCUUGCUUUUCUGAUGUUAGCGGCGGACGGGUGAGUAACAUGUGGAUAACCUACCUAUAAGACUGGGAUAACUUCGGGAAACCGGAGCUAAUAUCGGAUAAUAUUUUGAACCGCAUGGUUCAAAAGUGAAAGACGGUCUUGCUGUCACUUAUAGAUGGAUCCGCGCUGCAUUAGCUAGUUGGUAAGGUAACGGCUUACCAAGGCAACGAUGCAUAGCCGACCUGAGAGGGUGAUCGGCCACACUGGAACUGAGACACGGUCCAGACUCCUACGGGAGGCAGCAGUAGGGAAUCUUCCGCAAUGGGCGAAAGCCUGACGGAGCAACGCCGCGUGAGUGAUGAAGGUCUUCGGAUCGUAAAACUCUGUUAUUAGGGAAGAACAUAUGUGUAAGUAACUGUGCACAUCUUGACGGUACCUAAUCAGAAAGCCACGGCUAACUACGUG